UCGCUUCGCAUUCAGUUUCUUUUUCUCUUUCGAAUCGUUCAGUUCAAAUUCGGUUCGCAAUUUCCUCGAAUAAAACCAAUAUACCCAAUAUACACAUAUAUCAAAUAAACAAAGAGAAGGAAUCCUCAGAGAAUAACGUGUUAAAGAUAGCAAAACGUAAGAAGUGUGCAAUAAGUAAAGAAAGCAGAGACCCAAAAGCUCAAGGAAAGUUGAAAGUUGUAAACCAGAAUCUCGUCGAGAACAAAAACAAAAGUCCCCACCAAAAAAAAAAAAAACCACACACACACACGCCAGCAAAAUGAGUGUCUGUGAGAGCAAAGCCGUUGUGCAACAGCAACUGCAGCAGCACUUGCAGCAACAGGCCGCAGCAGUUGUUGCGGUGGCGCAGCAGCAGCAGGCCCAGGCCCAAGCUCAGGCCCAGGCCCAGGCUCAAGCCCAGGCCCAGGCUCAGGCGCAGGCGCAGCAGCAGCAGGCGCCGCAGGUGGUGGUCCCCAUGACCCCGCAGCAUCUGACCCCGCAGCAGCAGCAGCAGAGCACACAGAGCAUCGCCGACUAUCUGGCCCAGUUGCUCAAGGACCGCAAGCAGCUGGCCGCCUUCCCCAAUGUCUUCACCCACGUCGAACGGCUGCUGGACGAAGAAAUUGCACGCGUGCGCGCCUCACUGUUCCAGAUCAAUGGGGUCAAGAAGGAGCCCCUUACUCUGCCCGAACCCGAGGGCUCUGUGGUGACGAUGAACGAGAAGGUUUAUGUGCCAGUGCGCGAGCAUCCAGAUUUCAACUUUGUCGGUCGCAUUUUGGGACCCCGUGGCAUGACCGCCAAGCAACUGGAGCAGGAGACCGGUUGCAAGAUCAUGGUUCGCGGCAAGGGAUCCAUGCGCGACAAGAAGAAGGAGGAUGCCAACCGUGGCAAGCCCAACUGGGAGCAUCUGUCCGAUGACCUGCAUGUCCUGAUAACCGUCGAGGACACCGAGAACCGUGCCACGGUCAAGUUGGCCCAGGCCGUUGCCGAAGUACAGAAGCUGCUCGUGCCGCAAGCCGAAGGCGAAGAUGAGCUAAAGAAACGUCAACUUAUGGAAUUGGCGAUUAUUAAUGGCACUUAUAGGGACACAACAGCGAAAUCUGUCGCAGCUUUUUCAUGCGUUGGCUCUGCUUCUUAUCUGUAUCCCGCAGUGUGCGAUGAGGACUGGCGCCGCCUGAUGGCCGCCUCCGACAGCCGGCUGCUGACGCCCACCGGCCUGCCCGGCCUUGCCGCCCAGAUCCGCGCCCCCGCCUCCGCCCCGCUGGGCGCCCCCUUGAUCCUGAACCCACGGAUGACCGUCCCAACAACGGCGGCCAGCAUACUGUCCGCCCAGGCCGCUCCGACAGCCGCCUUCGAUCAGACCGGCCAUGGCAUGAUCUUCGCACCGUACGACUAUGCGAACUACGCCGCCCUCGCCGGCAAUCCUCUGCUCACGGAAUAUGCUGAUCAUAGCGUAGGCGCCAUUAAGCAGCAGCGUCGUUUGGCGACUAACCGCGAACAUCCCUAUCAGCGAGCAACGGUCGGAGUGCCAGCCAAGCCGGCGGGUUUCAUUGAGAUACAGUAAAUCCAUCCCCAAAAACUCAGAAAGCAACCUCUUUUUAAAUCGCAUCAUGUCAGCAGAAGCAACUUUAAAACUUUUUAUCAAUAAUUUCCGGAAAAGAAAGAAAGAAACAAACAAUUACGAACAACAGAAAUCAAACGAUUGGUGUCUGCCCGCCCUUAGAUUACGUUCACCGGGCAACCAAUCAAUUUAGUUGAAUUAUUUUUACCUUUGCGCUAUUUAUUUUGAUAUCUAAUGCUGCUCAUUAGGCCCCUGCUCCACCCAUCCACCAAUCCAUACUGUAUAUCCGAUGAAACCUGGCCGGAAACGUUGGCCAGGCCAGGCCGCUCUGCCCUGAUCAGAGUUCCGAAAACAAUUGUCAAGCGCACCGCCUCCACAGAUGAGCACGGAAGCCAAGCAGCAGCAGCAUCCCAGCCAGGCCAAAAGCAGAGCCAAGUGUGUGUUGUGUAUGUGCAUAUCUGAAGCUAACAAAAAUCAAAAAACAAAUCAACCAUAACCAAAAUCCAGAAAACAGAAAUCAGAGCCACCACAUGUCACUGACACAACUACUAAAACACUCAAACCCGAAACUCUGCGUCCAUUCGCCACACGAGCAGCAGAUGCAGCACAUGCAACACUUGCAACAAUUGCAGCAGCACAGCAGCAACAGCAACACAGCAGCAGCAACGUCAGUAUGUAUUGAAUCUUGUGGCCAUUAAACUGUUACGUUUUGCCAGCAACAAAACAAGGCAAUUAAGCAAACAAUUGAUAAGAGAAUCAAACAUAGAACUUAGUUUAAUUAACAUAAUCUAAAGGAAAAUACAAUUUAGUUUUUAGUGUAAAAGUUCAACGAACAAAAACAUACUUAAUGCAAACAUAUAUAUAUAAAUAUAAUAUGCAUAUACAAGUCUGUAUAUAAUUACCCCAAAACCCCUUAACGAAACUAAGGAAAAUCAUGUUAACGGAAUCUCAUCCAAGAAACUCAACUCAACAAACGAAACUGUUUUAAUUUUUUUUAAACAUCUUCUCUUUUAACUCGUAUUGGAAAAAGAAUCUUUCAGUAGUUAAACGUUAGCCGUUUCUUCUAUUUUCAUUGUGAACCUUUUAAGGAUUGGGCGAAAAUUCUAUCUAGUUCAAAUCGCUAUCAUGUAUGUUUGAUACAAAUCUUUCAGCCGUCGAUUAAGAAUGAUCUAUUUUUGUUAAACUGACGCAAAUUCUUGUUAAUGAAGUAUUUUUUGAUUAUGUUAUACUACAUCUAUAUAUCUGCACCCCACUUCAAAUUGAUUGUGUGAAAAGUAAGUGGGGGCGAAACACGAAACAACAAUAUCAUACUAAACACAUUUAACAGCCAUAUUUAGUUAAUGAAACAAGCAUAAUUUGAUGAUAGCAUCAAGCAUUCAUAAUGUACAAUUAAACGCUAAACUUAAAUUAUUUUAAAUAUUUUAAAUCUAAUGUAAUAUAUGCAGAAAUAAAAAGAAAAUUACUUUUUUUAA